rnacentral:rRNA from 1 species
GCUUACACAUGCAUCGAGCGGCAGCGCGGGGGCAACCCUGGCGGCGAGCGGCGAACGGGUGAGUAAUGCAUCGGAACGUGUCCUCUUGUGGGGGAUAACCAGUCGAAAGACUUGGCUAAUACCGCAUGAGAUCGAGAGAUGAAAGCAAGGGACCGCAAGGGCCUUGCCGCGAGAGGAGCGGCCGAUGCCGGAUUAGCUAGUUGGUGGGGUAACGGCCUACCAAGGCAACGAUCCGUAGCUGGUCUGAGAGGACGACCAGCCACACUGGGACUGAGACACGGCCCAGACUCCUACGGGAGGCAGCAGUGGGGAAUUUUGGACAAUGGGGGCAACCCUGAUCCAGCCAUGCCGCGUGUGUGAAGAAGGCCUUCGGGUUGUAAAGCACUUUCGGACGGAACGAAAUCGCGCGGGUUAAUAGUCCGCGUGGAAUGACGGUUACCGUAAGAAGAAGCACCGGCUAACUACGUGCCAGCAGCCGCGGUAAUACGUAGGGUGCGAGCGUUAAAUCGGAAUUACUGGGCGUAAAGUGUGCGCAGGCGGCGCUGCAAAGUCGAG